ensembl:miRNA
AAACUUUGAUUCUCUCUGGAUCCCAUGGAUAUAGGAACUGUGAGGUCUAGGAGAUCCAGAGAGAAUCAGAGUUU